rnacentral:rRNA from 1 species
UUAUUGGAGAGUUUGAUCCUGGCUCAGGAUGAACGCUGGCGGCGUGCCUAAUACAUGCAAGUCGAGCGAAUGGAUU